AUACGGAGGGUCCGAGCGUUAUCCGGAAUCAUCGGGUUGAAAGGGUCCGUAGGCGGGAAUCUAAGUCAGUGGUGAAAUCUUGCAGCUCAACUGUAAAAUUGCCAUUGAUACUGGAUUUCUUGAAUUAGUGUGAAGUGAUUAGAAUGUGUAGUGUAGCGGUGAAAUGCAUAGAUAUUACACAGAAUACCAAUUGCGAAGGCAGAUCACUAACACUAUAUUGACGCUGAGGGACGAAAGCGUGGGGAGCGAACAGGAUUAGAUACCCCUGUAGUCC
rnacentral:rRNA from 1 species